rnacentral:rRNA from 1 species
GACGAACGCUGGCGGCGUGCCUAAUACAUGCAAGUCGAGCGCAGGAAACCGUCUGAACCCUUCGGGGGGACGACGGCGGAAUGAGCGGCGGACGGGUGAGUAACACGUAAAGAACCUGCCCACGGGUCUGGGAUAACCACGAGAAAUCGGGGCUAAUACCGGACGGGUCAUCGGACCGCAUGGUCCGAGGAGGAAAGGCGCUCCGGCGUCGCCCGUGGAUGGCUUUGCGGUGCAUUAGCUAGUUGGGGGGGUAACGGCCCACCAAGGCGACGAUGCAUAGCCGACCUGAGAGGGUGAUCGGCCACACUGGGACUGAGACACGGCCCAGACUCCUACGGGAGGCAGCAGUAGGGAAUCUUCCACAAUGGACGAAAGUCUGAUGGAGCAACGCCGCGUGAACGAUGAAGGCCCUCGGGUCGUAAAGUUCUGUUGUAAGGGAAGAACAAGUGCCGCUGGCAAUGGCGGCACCUUGACGGUACCUUGCGAGAAAGCCACGGCUAACUACGUGCCAGCCGCCGCUGUAACAC